GAUAACACGAUUUCUCCGCUCUCAGACUACCUUUUAUUUGUCGUGUGACGCUUGAAUUGUCUCAGAAUCAACCGACCUAAAAAUAAUAAUAAUAAUGUAAGGAGAUAUUACAGUCUGUAGAUUACUCUCGUUUAUAUCCCGCUUGUCAUCUUCUAAGGUCAACUCUUUUUAAGGCUGGCAGCCUUAAACGAUUACUCGGAACAUUGCUAAAACCAUACCUGCAGUCGAACGAUGGACGAUCAAAUUCCCGAUUCAUCUUACGAGUUCACCCAUAAUGUUAAUAACGAGAAUUAUACAAUACAUGAUUGAACUUGGAAAUCACUUUUAAUUUCAACACCAAUCAUAAAUUCAAACUUAAAUUAAGCCAAAGUUCUGUCAAAUCAUUUAUCUAUGAGAAAAAUUGUUCGGAAGUAGUACUGCAUUUCAGACUACUAUGGUGCAGCAGCAAACUCCACAAAAAUCAGUUGAUGACUUGGAGCACAUAGUUGGAAAUUUAGAGAACAAUUACUCAUUUUUAAAAACAAAUAGAUGAACUUUACGGAAAUAUUGACAAUAUGUGUCAAUAAAAUGACAAGAUCAGUUACUAUUGGAACUGUAUUGGACAAUUACUUAAAGCUAUUGAAAAUGCCUGGAAUUUAUACAAAGUUACAUAAAAACAUAAAAGCUCCUAUUUUGAAAUGCAUUUAAGUAAACCAUGACAGAUAGUUGUAUUCAAUAGUAAGCUUUGUAAGUAGAGAGGUUUUAAGAACACUUUUAGUUGAGAAAUUCACGGCUAAUAAAGUUCUUCAAUUAAUAAUGAAUAGAUUAAUAACAGGAAAUACGAGAAAAUCUACUAUUAUUAUAACUGGCAAACCUUUUGGUACAGAACAUGAUAUCAUUGCUUAUGAAACUCUAGAUAGUUUAAUCCGUAUUUGUUAAAUUUCACUUGUAAUGUAUUAGCUAAUUAUCUACUUGACAAUAAUCAUAUUGAAUUAAUAAAGCUUGCUGAUGAUCCAGUGGAAACAAUAACUUUAAUGGAUACUGUGUACCAAGUUCCUAGAAAUUGUAACUGAAUCAUAACUUAAGAUAAAAUUCAAGUUUAUCCUCAACCUUCAUAUAGAGUCUACCCUUUUCAAAGUGCUACUGAACCAGUUCUCUAGUAAAGUGAUAUUUUUGUUGCUAUUCAUAAUUCGAAAAUUUGUUAAAAGAGGGUUGGAUAUGAGAAAACUUGAAUACUCUAAGCACAGAAUUAAAAAAUAUUGAAAAGUCAAAAGUAAAAAACUAACAAAACUUUGACAAGUCUCAAUCGUAAACAAAAUUACUCAAGGCCAAGCACGACAAGACUUCCAUGGAAAACACAUGAACUUAAAACUAAAUGAGAAAAAGAAAAUGAUGACAGAAUGGCUAUUGUUACUGAAGAAAUAAAUUAUGUUGAUUUAAAAGUAGUGAAGUCAAAGAAAUAAAAGAAGAAUCUAAUCCCCCAAGAAUGCUUAUUCUGCAUUAUUAGUAGGAAUGAAGAGCCUUCAGACUAAAGUGUAUUAUUUGAAACAACAUUAGAAACUAAUUACUUAGAGAAGAGAGGUGAAAAUCAUCUGGUCAUGAGAUAUAGGAAGAAGUAAAUGGAUUGGUGCUGAAAUUACAAAUACCAAAAGAUUGCUUGAAAUUAAUCCACAUCAACAAAAUGUGGUCUUGUGAUGUUUGAUAACGAUUAUGGAGGAACGUGUAAUAGCUAUUUUACUCCAAUGAUGAAGAUUAUGUAGACAAUAUGGAUAAUGUUAAGUGAAUAGCCACUACUCAGCUGUUUAUUUUGGCUAUCGAAAAUCAUUACGUCACAACAAUUUCAUACUCCUCACCCCACCCACAAGAUAUAUCCCGCAUAAAAAAUCCAAAUAAUUUUAAGAUAAAUUAGUUUAAGAACCUAGAUAUUAAAACUUAGUGUUUAGUUCAUACUGUUGUAAUAGGUUAUAUUAAGUAAUUAGAUUCUAAUGUUGUUUCAACUGUUAUAAGUAAUACAUUUUAGUCUGAAGGCUCUUCAUUCCUACUAUUAAUGCAGAAUAAGCAUACUUGGGGGAUUAGAUUCUUCUUUUAUUUCCUUGACUUUGACUACUUUUAAAUUAACAUAAUUUAUUUCUUCAGUAACAAUAGCCAUUCUGUCAUCAUUUUCUUUUUCUCAUUUAGUUUUAAGUUCAUGUGUUUUUCAUGAAAGUCUUGUCGUGCUAGGCAUUGAGUAAUUUUGUUUCCGAUUGAGACUUGUCAAAGUUUUGUUAGUUUUUUACUUUUGACUUUUCAAUAUUUGUUAAUUCUGUGUUUAGAGUAUUCAAGUUUUCUCAUAUCCAACCCUCUUUUAUCAAAUUUUCAAAUUAUGAAUAGCAACAAAAAUAUCACUUUAUUAGAGAACUGGUUCAGUAGCACUCUGAAAAGGGUACACUCUAUAUGAAAGUUGAGGAUAAACUUGAAUUUUAUCUUAAGUUAUGAUUCAGUUACAAUUUCUAGGAACUUGGUACACAGUAUCCAUUAAAGUUAUUGGUUUCACUGGAUCAUCAGCAAGCUUUAUUAAUUCAAUAUGAUUAUUGUCAAGUAGAUAAUUAGCUAAUACAUUACAAGUGAAAUUUAAUAAAUACGGAUUAAACGAUCUAGAGUUUCAUAAGCAGUGAUAUCAUGUUCUGUACCAAAAGGUUUGCCAGUUAUAAUAAUAGUAGAUUUUCUCGUAUUUCCUGUUAUUAAUCUAUUCAUUAUUAAUUGAAGAACUUUAUUAGCCGUGAAUUUCUCAACUAAAAGUGUUCUUAAAACCUCUCUACUUACAAAGCUUACUAUUGAAUACAACUAUCUGUCAUGGUUUACUUAAAUGCAUUUCAAAAUAGGAGCUUUUAUGUUUUUAUGUAACUUUGUAUUAAUUCCAGGCAUUUUCAAUAGCUUUAAGUAAUUGUCCAAUACAGUUCCAAUAGUAACUGAUCUUGUCAUUUUAUUGACACAUAUUGUCAAUAUUUCCGUUAAGUUCAUCUGUUUUGUCUUUGGAAAUGAAUAAUUGCUCUUUAAAUUUUAAAUUACGUGCACCAAUUCAUCAACAGGUUUUUUUGGAGUUUGCUGUUGCUUCAUAUUGUUUUAAAAGCCUUAUCUACUUCCGAAACAUUUUUCUCAUAUAGAGGCUACACUUUUAUAUUGUUCUAAAAUAUUAGUACUUCCUUUUAGAUAUUCAACUUCAAUGUGGUUUUUCCAAAUCAUUUCUGCUACUGGUUAUAUAUUUUAUAAUAGAAUCAAAUUUUCUGACAGAUUGCUUUAUGGAAACAAUUUUAUUUUCUUAAAUUUUUUUUUAAAUUGUAUAAAUAACUUUUUUUAUGUUCAAUUUUUUGUAUUUACAUUUGACAAUGUUUUUCUAACGGAAUUAAUUGAUUUGAAUGUAAUUAUGAUUGCACUUACUAAAAUAUAUUGUAAUUUUCA